UGUAACUUGUUUAGCUUCUUGCAGAAGCCUCUCGUCGUACGAACACCUAAACUACCAAAAUUUAUAGAGAGCUCCCGAGUUUUUCAUUUUGAGGACCACAACUAAUAUAAAUUCGGAGAGUGGUGCAUGUGGCAGCAUGAUAGAGUGGAGAUCAUAGCGAAUGAUCAGGGGAACAGAACGACGCCGUCGUAUGUGGCUUUUACUGAUACUGAGAGGCUCAUCGGUGAUGCUGCCAAGAAUCAAGUUGCCAUGAAUCCGAUUAACACUGUUUUCGGAUUCUUGGAAGAAGGCCGGUUUUCUUUUCGGACAUUAAAGUUUUAUUGUCUAAAUUUCCCCGGUCAUCUUGCAUGUCCGACGGUUAGAUAAUAAGCUUUCUUGAAUGAAAGAAUUAUCACGGUGAAUUGCCGAUUCUCGUUGA